AUCCGGUGAUCCCUGCCGUCGAGAAAAGCUUCGGCGCGAGGGCCAAUGCCGCCCGUACCCCAAACCGACACUGGUGGUCAGGUAGAGAAUACCAAGGCGAUCGAGCGAAUCCUGGUCAAGGAACUCGGCAAAUUGCUCCCGUUCCUUCGGUUUAAGGGAGACCCCCUGCUGUGAACGGGCUUGCCCCGGGAGCGGCGGGGGGUGGCACAGGCCAGGGGGUAGCGACUGUUUACCAAAAACACAGGUGCAUGCGAAGACGAAAGCCGCUGUAUAUGCACUGACGCCUGCCCGGUGCCGGAAGGUUAAGAGGAUCCGCCAGCCCUCGGGCGAAGCGGUGAAUUCAAGCCCCGGUAACCGGCGGUGGUAACGAUAACCAUCCUAAGGUAGCGAAAUUCCUUGUCGGGUAAGUUCCGACCUGCACGAAUGGCGUAACGACUUCCCCACUGUCUCGACCAGGAGCUCGGCGAAAUUGCAGUACGAGUAAAGAUGCUCGUUAAGCGCAGAAGGACGAAAAGACCCCGGGACCUUUACUAUACCUUGGUAUUGGCAUUCGGUGUGGAUUGUGUAGCAUAGGCGGGAGGCUACGAGUCAUGGGCGCCAGCCCGUGAGGAGCCGUCGUUGAAAUACCGCUCUGUUCGCAUUGGAUGUCUAACCUCGAGCAGUCAUCCUGCUCAGGGACAGUGCCUGGCGGGUAGUUUAACUGGGGCGGUUGCCUCCCAAAGAGUAACGGAGGCGCUCAAAGGUUCCCUCAGCCCGGUUGGCAAUCGGGUGGCGAGUGUAAGCGCACAAGGGAGCUUGACUGCGAGACUGACGGGUCGAGCAGGGACGAAAGUAGGAGCUAGUGAUCCGGUGCCGGCGUACGGACGCGGCAUCGCUCAACGGAUAAAAGGUACCCCGGGGAUAACAGGCUGAUCAUUCCCAAGAGUCCAUAUCGACGGGAUGGUUUGGCACCUCGAUGUCGGCUCGUCGCAUCCUGGGGCUGGAGCAGGUCCCAAGGGUUCGGCUGUUCGCCGAUUAAAGCGGCACGCGAGCUGGGUUCAGAACGUCGUGAGACAGUUUGGUCUCUAUCCUCUGCGCUCGUUGGAAUCCUGAGGAGGCCUGCCCAUAGUACGAGAGGACCUGGGUGGACGAACCUCUGGUAUGCCGGUUGUCGCGCCAGCGGCACGGCCGGUUGGCUACGUUCGGAAGGGAUAACCGCUGAAAGCAUCUAAGCGGGAAGCCUGCUCCGAGAUUAGGAUUCCUCGCGGCCUCGGGCCGCGCGACCCCCCAUGUAGAACACGUGGUCGAUAGGCCGGACGUGGAAGCCCCGCAAGGGGUGGAGCUGACCGGUACUAACGGGGGAAAGGCGAA
rnacentral:rRNA from 1 species